rnacentral:rRNA from 1 species
UACAUGGGGUGCAAACGUUGCUCGGAAUCAUUGGGCGUAAAGCGCGCGUAGGCGGUUAUUUAAGUUGGAUGUGAAAGCCCUCGGCUUAACUGAGGAAGUGCAUCCAAAACUGAAUAGCUAGAGUACGAAAGAGGGUCGCGGAAUUCCGAGUGUAGAGGUGAAAUUCGUAGAUAUUCGGAAGAACACCAGUGGCGAAGGCGGCUCACUGGCCCGUUACCGACGCUCAGGCGCGACAGCGUGGGGAGCAAACAGG